rnacentral:rRNA from 1 species
AUUGAACGCUGGCGGCAGGCUUAACACAUGCAAGUCGAGCGGAGCGAGGGUGCUUGCACCUUAGCUUAGCGGCGGACGGGUGAGUAAUGCUUAGGAAUCUGCCUAUUAGUGGGGGACAACAUUCCGAAAGGAAUGCUAAUACCGCAUACGCCCUACGGGGGAAAGCAGGGGAUCUUCGGACCUUGCGCUAAUAGAUGAGCCUAAGUCGGAUUAGCUAGUUGGUGGGGUAAAGGCCUACCAAGGCGACGAUCUGUAGCGGGUCUGAGAGGAUGAUCCGCCACACUGGGACUGAGACACGGCCCAGACUCCUACGGGAGGCAGCAGUGGGGAAUAUUGGACAAUGGGCGGAAGCCUGAUCCAGCCAUGCCGCGUGUGUGAAGAAGGCCUUUUGGUUGUAAAGCACUUUAAGCGAGGAGGAGGCUACUUAGAUUAAUACUCUGGGAUAGUGGACGUUACUCGCAGAAUAAGCACCGGCUAACUCUGUGCCAGCAGCCGCGGUAAUAC